rnacentral:tRNA from 1 species
GGGAAGGUGGCUCAGUGGUAGAGUGCUUGCUUUGUAUGCAUGAGGUCCUGGGUUCCAUUCCU